AUAUUUACCUAGCAGAGGGGUUUUAGCCAUAAUCACUAAGGUGGCUCUCCAAGGACGAGGCUGUUUCAUUGCACCCUGAGCCUGCUGACCUCUGUGAUUUUCCCACAUGCGGGAAACUCGACUGCACAAUUUAUGGUAGUGGGGUACUGUGUGCUCGUUUUCCCCUG